rnacentral:rRNA from 1 species
CAACAGGGAUUGCCCUAGUAACGGCGAGUGAAGCGGCAACAGCUCAAAUUUGAAAUCUGGCGUCUUUGGCGUCCGAGUUGUAAUUUGCAGAGGGCGCUUUGGCAUUGGCAGCGGUCCAAGUUCCUUGGAACAGGACGUCACAGAGGGUGAGAAUCCCGUACGUGGUCGCUAGCCUUUACCGUGUAAAGCCCCUUCGACGAGUCGAGUUGUUUGGGAAUGCAGCUCUAAAUGGGAGGUAAAUUUCUUCUAAAGCUAAAUACUGGCCAGAGACCGAUAGCGCACAAGUAGAGUGAUCGAAAGAUGAAAAGCACUUUGGAAAGAGAGUUAAAAAGCACGUGAAAUUGUUGAAAGGGAAGCGCUUGCAGCCAGACUUGCCUGUAGUUGCUCAUCCGGGUUUUUACCCGGUGCACUCUUCUAUAGGCAGGCCAGCAUCAGUUUGGGCGGUUGGAUAAAGGUCUCUGUCACGUACCUCCUCUCGGGGAGAACUUAUAGGGGAGACGUAAUGCAACCAGCCUGGACUGAGGUCCGCGCAUCUGCUAGGAUGCUGGCGUAAUGGCUGUAAGCGGCCCGUCUUGAAACACGGACCAAGGAGUCUAACAUCUAUGCGAGUGUUUGGGUGUCAAGCCCGAGCGCGUAAUGAAAGUGAACGGAGGUGGGAACCUUUCGGGGUGCACCAUCGACCGAUCCUGAUGUCUUCGGAUGGAUUUGAGUAAGAGCAUAGCUGUUGGGACCCGAAAGAUGGUGAACUAUGCUUGAAUAGGGUGAAGCCAGAGGAAACUCUGGUGGAGGCUCGCAGCGGUUCUGACGUGCAAAUCGAUCGUCAAAUUUGGGCAUAGGGGCGAAAGACUAAUCGAAC